rnacentral:rRNA from 1 species
AUGCCGGGCAUGAAGGUGCCGGACAAGUUCUCGAUCGACUCCACCAACCGGAGCGCGGGGGAGUGCGCGGCCAGGUGCGCCGCAACCUGCUCGUGUGUGGCGUACGCGUACGCCAACGUGCAGAGCAGCAGCACAGAUGGCCAACUGAUCAAGUGCGUGGUGUGGGCGGAGGAGCUCGUCGACGCACAGAUGAUGGGCGCGCGGUGGGGCGGCGAGACGCUCUACCUCCGCGUGCCCGUUGCUGCUGCCUCCACAGCCCUGCCCAACACAGGUAGAAACUCCAGCAGAAGGGGGGUGAAGACAGCCCUGCCGGUGUUAUCAUCCGUCCUGCUGCUCACAUGCAUUUUGUUUGUAUGGUUCUGGAGAUUCAGAGAUCACAACGGAGACCUUGAGUUCCCGUCCAUACGGUUCGCCGACAUUGUCGCCGCCACGGACAACUUCUCCAAAACACUCAUGGUCGGACGCGGAGGGUUCGGCAUGGUCUACAAGGGAACAUUAGAUGGCGGUCAGGUCGUCGCGGUGAAGAGGCUGAGCAAGGACUCGGAUCAGGGAGCAGAGGAGUUCAAGAAUGAGGCCAUUCUAAUCGCCAAGCUGCAGCACCGGAACCUGGUGCGCCUCCUCGGCUGCUGCUCUACCUACACCAGGACUCGAGGCUAA